CAAUCAAAUGGCUGAAAAGGAAUGGGGUCACAGGAUUCAAAACAUGUCCCUUUAACAGAGCUGUGGUGGGAAGAAUAAUUUUCUUUUGAUAGUCUUAAGACAGGAAGGAUGAUAAAGUAUUUCUAAAAUGAGUCACCUCAAAACGUUUUCAUAUUUGUACUUAUCAUAAAAAGUAAUUUAUGGGCAAGAGGCAUGGCUCAAGUAAUAGAAUGCUUGUCUAGGAAGCAUAAAGUCCUCGGUUCAAUCCUCAGAAUUCUCCCUCUCCACCAAAUAUAAUUUAAGUGCAUCCAUUGUGUUACAAACAAAGAUUUGUGGUGAUUUCCUUUCCUUUCUCCUUUUGUCUUUUCACCCAUUAUUCAUCCAUCCAUGUAUCCAUCUGUCCUUGUGACAAAUACUAAAUGCAUGAAACUCCCAUGACUAUAAUGAUUCUUGAGGAGCAUAAACUACUAGAGGAGAUAAAAUGAACAUGAAAAUAAUUACUCAAAUCCUAGGAAUAAACCAACUAAAUGACAUGGAAGUUCAAAGAAGGAAGAAAUCUUCUGGCUAGAACAGAUGAUGUUUAAGCUGGGCUCUAAAUGGUAGGGACGAUUAUGCCAUUCAUUCCAGACACAGAGAACAAGAUGAGCCUCAGCCUAAAGGUUAGUAGGAUUUUAUAAAACCAGCAUUUAGAUCUUAGAAUUCCAGAUUAUAGGAUAAAAUCAUAAUCAUAAAAAAUUCGAACCAAGGCAGUACUUUAGUUUUCUGUGAAUCCUCUUCUUCAAAGGUAACUCUCAUUAACUGCAUACUCUAGAUUUGCCUAGAUAAUUUUUUUCUUAUCAUUGAGCCUUCAGAAUCAUUUGGUGAUGUAAAUAUCAUUGAAACUCACCUAAGAAAUGGGUUAAGUAACUUGUCUCAAAUUAUAGUUUUGUAAGUGAAAGAGUUAAGAUUUCAUCUGAGGCCCACUGCUGCUAAAAGUCGGAGAGUUUCCACUCUACCUGGUGUGAUGGAGCUAGUGGUUUAAACUGGAAUCAAAUGACUCACCCCAGCCCUGUGAAUAGCUCUUGGUUAUAGUCUUUUCUCUUGAUCUGGAGGAAAGCCAGAGAUGAGAACUCACACAUUAUCCACAUCUACUAGAAUGAGUACACAGGAAAGGUAUUUGGUUGUCUCCAGACCUUUUGGUCUAUUAUAUGCUUUAUUCUGGUCUCCAACAGAAGAUGAAUUUUAUUCUAGUAGCAGAGUAGUACUGGUAAAGUUGGUGGAAUGUUCAAGAGAAGAAGAUAUCAGACAUCUUUCUCCUCCACACUAUCGCCUUUAGCCUACCUGAUUUAGCAACCAGCUCUCUGCUUUUAGAAAAGCUAGCUGAAUUUACUUGAGCUGUCUUCUUUUGCAUCCAAAGUUGAGAUUGCUAAAGGUGCUGCCUGUGGAGCACAGUGAGAGCUGGGGACCCAAGUUCUAUGUUUGUGGAACACUUACCCCAGACGGCCAUGAACACAGCAAAGAAGACAGUAGCUCCAUUGUCAAAAAGUUUCAAGGCUUCUGCAAUAUGAAAGUUCAAGACUAGAAUCAUCAACAAAGUCUACUUCUACCUUUACUAAAGCCUCAGGUAACCACAAUGCUUACCUUACUGCACACAACACAAAGACAGUUAGCAAUACUUUAUCUAUAAUACAAUAUAUUCUAUUGCAAACACCACAGCUGAGAGAAAAAUAUCCUUUCUUACCAUAAAACUGAUCGCAUCUAUUUCCUUCUCCUGAGUAAAUCAUAUCAAUAUCCAUGCCAGAUUGAAACGAUGAAAGCAUAACAUUUUGGGGUAUUUUAUAGUUCCCUAUAAAAUAUGUUUUACCGUCCAUCAAAGAAUGUGCCAGGUAUAAACAGGUCCUUCCCUGUCAUAACAGAGUGUGAAGUAUUUCAGAUGAUUCUAAAAGCUUAUGCCUACUCUUCCUUUGAACACAGAAGAGAAGGGCACUAUUCAAAUACUGAAUGGGAGGGGAACACCUAAAGCCUAGUGAUUUCAGAUGCCAGAGAGAGGGUUAAGCUGUUCACUGGGCAUUUGGCACAACAUGAACCUGAAAGUUCUGGUGCCAUGUGGUUGGUUUUUUGCUCCCUCUCUGGGCAAUUGGUAGAGGAAGUAGUUUGUACCAUUACUGCAGGUUCUGGAAUGAGUGGUAGCUGUUACUAUUUGGGCCUAGCCAUAUCAUCUUUCCACUCAGGGAAACCUGGCUAAAAAUAGGGCAAGUCAGAGUACUUUCUUGAUCCAGAUGUGGAAACUAGGUUUCUACAAGGCAAUGGAGUUUUUCUGUGGUGGUUAUCAAUUUGGAAAUAAUGGUUAAGAUUAAAUUCAGUAGUAGGGACUUCUCUUACCUAUUACGUAUUCCGCUAGUUUCUAGUGUACACUGAUGGUACUCUUGGCCAAAUUGAACCACAGAAAACCAACACAGUAGAUUCCAGACACUAACAAAACACAACAGAGACCCUAUGAAUCCCUAGUGGAAAGUUCUUUUCAAUUCUGUUUGUAUUUGGUAGUAAUGGGAUUUGAACUCACGGUUUUUGACUUGCUAGACAAAUAUUCUGUUGCCUAAGCUACACUCCAAGCUCUUUUUGCUUUCAUUAUUUUUCAGACAGGGUCUUCCACUUUUUGCCCAUACUGUCUUGGUCCAUGAUCCUCCUACUUACAGCCUCCUACAGGGUUGGGAUAACAGGUGUGAGCCACCACAAUUGGCUAGUUUAUUGAGAAGAGGAUCUUCAUUAACAUUUUGCCCUGAGCUGGCCUUGAAUCAUGAUCCUCUUGAUCUGUAUCUACCCAGUAUAUGGAAUCAUAGCUUCAUUGUUCCAAGUAGCUUU